rnacentral:rRNA from 1 species
UUGUUGGUAAGGUAAAAGCUUACCAAGGCUUCGAUCAGUAGCUGGUCUGAGAGGACGACCAGCCACACUGGGACUGAGACACGGCCCAGACUCCUACGGGAGGCAGCAGUGGGGAAUUUUGGACAAUGGGGGCAACCCUGAUCCAGCCAUGCCGCGUGAGUGAAGAAGGCCUUCGGGUUGUAAAGCUCUUUCAGCCGGAACGAAACGGUUACGGAUAACACCCGUGACUACUGACGGUACCGGAAGAAGAAGCACCGGCUAACUACGUGCCAGCAGCCGCGGUAAUACGUAGGGUGCGAGCGUUAAUCGGAAUUACUGGGCGUAAAGCGUGCGCAGGUGGUUUUGUAAGUCAGAUGUGAAAGCCCCGGGCUCAACCUGGGAACUGCGUUUGAAACUACAAGACUAGAGUGUGGCAGAGGGGGGUGGAAUUCCGCGUGUAGCAGUGAAAUGCGUAGAGAUGUGGAGGAACACCGAUGGCGAAGGCAGCCCCCUGGGUCAACACUGACGCUCAGGCACGAAAGCAUGGGGAGCAAACAGGAUUAGAUACCCUGGUAGUCCAUGCCCUAAACGAUGUCAACUAGUUGUCGGGCCUUUACGGGCUUGGUAACGUAGCUAACGCGUGAAGUUGACCGCCUGGGGAGUACGAUCGCAAGAUUAAAACUCAAAUGAAUUGACGGGGACCCGCACAAGCGGUGGAUUAUGUGGAUUAAUUCGAUGCAACGCGAAAAACCUUACCUACCCUUGUCAUGUAUCGAAGCCCGCAGAAAAGCGGGGGUGCCCGAAAGGGAACGAUAACACAGGUGCUGCAUGGCUGUCGUCAGCUCGUGUCGUGAGAUGUUGGGUUAAGUCCCGCAACGAGCGCAACCCUUGUCAUUAAUUGCCAUCAUUUAGUUGGGCACUUUAAUGAGACUGCCGG